UCGGAGAUAACGGGAAUAAAUUUCGUGAGAUAUUCUGGAUGUAAAUUAGGGAAAGUUCGUUAGCGGAAAAGGGGAAUUAGUUAGAUUCUUAAUUAGGAGAAAUUUUCUGAAAGAAGAUAUCGAAGAACAAUUCUCCAAAGUUUUUUUCCAGCUAACCCUAAAUACUUUUGAGCGGGAUGAAAAUAAAAUUGAAAAUCUUUUGGGCAAGAUUGCUCCCGCUUUGUGUGAAUUUGUUCGCCUAAAUAAAGAUCCCCAACACAUGAAGAGUUGCAUCCAAUUUCAUCUACAUCUUAGUAAGGUAUAUUUUUUUUCAAUCUUCUUAGGUUAAAGAGAGAACCUAAGGUGUCACUAUGGAUUUCCAAGAAUUUGCAUCUAAUUCUUUUGGAAACGACAUUGAUGUAUAUUUUCAACCUAUUAUGGAAGAAUUGAAAGAAUUAUGGGGCGUUGGUGGUAAGACUUACGAUCCUGCACUAGUUAUGCUCUCUAGGAGGAGCACCAAGAGGCAGUUGGAACUGCCAAGAAAGAAUCAUCCCGAAGGCUGCUUGAUGGAUCGAAUAAUGGAAGAGGACUUGCUCCACUUUACUUCGAGAUACUUGAAUUAUGCAGAGACACAACCUGCUAAAACAAUGGAAGAGAGUUGUAUGACUGCACUCGAUUAGGCCAAAAAUUCUAUCUCGUUUUGUUAAAAGUUCCAAACUAUUCAUGAUUCAAGUGGUCUCAAGUAAUUCAUAAGAAACAAUGUCGCCUUAAAAUACCUUUCAAUUCUUGUUUCUUGUAAGUUGAUUGAUUGUACGGAUACUAAAAUUUCUGGCAGUCAUUAAUAAUAAUAAAUACAUAAGAUCACUUGUUAAA